rnacentral:lncRNA from 1 species
UUAGUGAUUUCGUGUGGAAUUAAUCUAGUUGGCCAGGUUCAGUGACAACGUUGGUGACUGGAUUUUAAAAUCCCGCUACAGUGCAUAAGAAAAACGAGGGAAAGAGGGGAGGGAAAUGACCGGGAAGAACUCUCUCUUAUACAACCCCAAAUUGAAGAGCUCUCUCUUAUCCAACCCCAAAUUGAAGAGCUCUCUCUUACACCUCCAACCGCACGACACCAAAUUGAAGAACCCUAAAGGGAAAACUAUCUCUCCACCUUCUCGAAUAAUGCUCGUGAUUUUCAGUGUUGAUUUUCCAGCGUUGAUUUACAGUGUUGAUUUUCCAAUUUCUUGGCGAAUUCGGAUUGAAGCAAUGCUUUUUUGCCUCGGCUUUCUCCAGCUAUGAAGCUUUCAUAGCUUCGCCUUAUCGUUUCGUAUUGUCCAGCUCCCGACAGAAGAAAGUAAGGCUGAAAAACCAGCUCAUGUUCUCUAGCUCCAAGUCCGCUUGAAAAUUAGUCUAGUCGAACAAGGCCCAACAUCACGGAGGUGUGUGAUAGUGCUAUUGUGUUUAUUAGUUAAAGGUUUUUUACUAGAAUACAGAUAACUGUGUACACAAUUGAAAUUGUUGGGUGUGAAUGUCAGUUGUGAUG